rnacentral:rRNA from 1 species
AGCGAACGCUGGCGGCAGGCCUAACACAUGCAAGUCGAACGAACUCUUCGGAGUUAGUGGCGGACGGGUGAGUAACACGUGGGAACGUGCCUUUAGGUUCGGAAUAACUCAGGGAAACUUGUGCUAAUACCGAAUGUGCCCUUCGGGGAAAGAUUUAUCGCCUUUAGAGCGGCCCGCGUCUGAUUAGCUAGUUGGUGAGGUAAAGGCUCACCAAGGCGACGAUCAGUAGCUGGUCUGAGAGGAUGAUCAGCCACAUUGGGACUGAGACACGGCCCAAACUCCUACGGGAGGCAGCAGUGGGGAAUCUUGCGCAAUGGGCGAAAGCCUGACGCAGCCAUGCCGCGUGAAUGAUGAAGGUCUUAGGAUUGUAAAAUUCUUUCACCGGGACGAUAAUGACGGUACCCGGAGAAGAAGCCCCGGCUAACUUCGUGCCAGCAGCCGCGGUAAU